UUUUGCCUAUUUUUAUAUUGAGAGUGUUUGCUCUUUUAAAUGUUAAGGUUAACGUUUUAUCUUCCAUAACUGAUAUGAAUAUUUUUUUCUAAUGUGUCCUUAAUUUUAUUUAUGGCAUUUUUUACAUAUAGCCAUUUUUAAUGUCUAUGUCAGAAUAAUAGUUUUAUCAUUAGGGUGAUUGUGAAUACUCUGCAAGGAUGAUACUGGAGAGUCAGGAAAGUCACAUGAAAGCUGCAAUGUGAUGUUCAAGAAGAGCAGAAGUUAACUUGGGCCUCGGCAACCUGUGGUGGGUUGGAGGUAGCGGAAAAGGUGGGAGGGUGUACAGUGGGAAGAGCAGAGGUCUGGUGUGAGCCGGAGCCUGGCAUAUCUCAGGAGCCAGA
rnacentral:lncRNA from 1 species